GGCCCCAUGGUGUAAUGGUUAUCACUCUGGACUCUGAAUCCAGCGAUCCGAGUUCGAAUCUCGGUGGGACCG
rnacentral:tRNA from 1 species